CCUACGGGAGGCAGCAGUGGGGAAUCUUGCGCAAUGGGCGAAAGCCUGACGCAGCCAUGCCGCGUGAAUGAUGAAGGUCUUAGGAUUGUAAAAUUCUUUCACCGGGGACGAUAAUGACGGUACCCGGAGAAGAAGCCCCGGCUAACUUCGUGCCAGCAGCCGCGGUAAUACGAAGGGGGCUAGCGUUGCUCGGAAUUACUGGGCGUAAAGGGAGCGUAGGCGGAUAGUUUAGUCAGAGGUGAAAGCCCAGGGCUCAACCUUGGAAUUGCCUUUGAUACUGGCUAUCUUGAGUAUGGGAGAGGUUAGCGGAACUCCGAGUGUAGAGGUGAAAUUCGUAGAUAUUCGGAAGAACACCAGUGGCGAAGGCGGCUAACUGGCCCAUUACUGACGCUGAGGCUCGAAAGCGUGGGGAGCAAACAGGAUUAGAUACCCUGGUAGUCCACGCCGUAAACGAUGAGUGCUAGUUGUCGGCAUGCAUGCAUGUCGGUGACGCAGCUAACGCAUUAAGCACUCCGCCUGGGGAGUACGGUCGCAAGAUUAAAACUCAAAAGGAAUUGACGG
rnacentral:rRNA from 1 species